GCUGGGUAGUAUUCUGUGGUAUUGACAGCCACAGUGUGUUUAUUCACCCAUUGGAGGACAUCUGGGUAGUUUUCAGUUCUUGGCAAUUAUAAGUAGAGCUGCUAUUAAGCACUCCUGUACCAGUCUCUGUGGGAAUGUAAAUUUUCAUUUCUCUAGGGGUGGAAUUUCUGGAUCAUAUGGAUCUUAAAUGUAAUUGGGAAGACAAGAUAUACAGAUAUGAAAACUUAAAUAAUCGUUCGAGACAGUGAUAUAAGAGCUAUCACAAGGCAAUACAUGAUUGAGUACCAAAUGAUGCCUUCUGUCUCUGAACCAGUGACAUUUAUUACCGCACACAGAAGAGAAUGAGCCAAGAGGUGCUGCAGGAGUUCAGAGGCAAGAGAGAGGAAUGUGGCCUGAUAUGCACAGAAGACUUCAUGAAGGAGCUGGCUGAAAUGCAAUGAUUCCCAGGGAAACUUGGAACCCAUGUGUUGAAGGUGGUAGCACUUCCAUCAGCCUGGGUCCUGAAUGCCUGCAGGAGAAUAUCCUUUUGAUCCAUGUACCUGCCGAGGACUGAUAGAAGAGAGCUGUCAUGUUUGAAAACAGAAGUGAAGAUAUCCCUGGAGAGUUAGUGAAGGUCAUUGAUGGAAGCUCCAGGAGAGAGUGGGGAUAAUGGAAGGAAUAAAGUUAUCCACAUCUCAUCUUAAAGCUAGCAUCUUUAAUACAGUAUAACCAAGAUGAUUCCUGAAGGAAUACUCCACCUGAACUCAAGAGUAGUUGCUUACCAAGAAGAAGCAGUUCAAUUGUUCCUAAAACAUAUAAUUUGUCUAUCUGUAUAGUUCGACUUUUAGAUAAGGAUUAUAAUUUUCAAAUAUUAACUAUUUUCCAUUUAUGUAUCUAGAAGGAACAGCUGAACUAAUAUAAAAGCAUAUGUUUUGUGGACAUUGUCACAUAAUAGUUUGCCUAUCCACUACAGCUCAAAUUUCCAGGAAAAGAUUGUUUCAGUUUUCAACCAUUAACUUUAUCUUCCAUGCCUAUGUAUCUUAGCAUCUCCAAAUCUUAAGCAAAGAGAGAAAAUUAAAAAGGAUGUAAGUUGUUCUCAAGGACAUAAUCCUUAGGGUGAUGGAAAUGUUCUGUGUCUUGAUUGUAGUGGGGGUUAUACAACUAUAUGUGUAUGUCAAAAUUCAUAGAGCUGUACAACUAAAAAGGGUGAAAUUUACUGCCUGCAAAGGAUGCCUCAAUAAACCUGACGUAAAUCAAAGCCAAAAAAACCCAAAAUUCUUGAACACCUCCUCUGACAUUGUGGUAGGGUACGUAAGCACAUAAAAAAACAGAUUUCAGUCUUAAAGACUGAAAUAUGAAAGUAAAGUUCCAGUGUUAUCAUCUAAAUUACCAUAGAAAAAUUUUCCUAGGACACUUCGUUUCUGUUGUGCCUUAUCAGUGACAGCUCUUUGAACCCUUCGACCUGACCAGUUAGGAAAAGUACAAAGGAAGGGCCCUAUCUUUUAGCCAUCUUGUUGACUGGAUGCAGAAGGAAUACUUCCUUUAACCACUGGGGCAACAGUUAAGUUUGCUCAGAUACAAUCUCAUGCAGCAUGAUGUUUUUAAGAUAGUCUCUGUGAUUUUCCAGACUCUAGGUUGUGCUCGACAGAAACUCAGCUCCUGCCCAGACCCUUGCCUAGCUUGCAUCCUUGCUUCAUUCAGGUCUCUGCUCAAAUGUCCCUUGGCAGAAAGGCCUCCUUAUCAGCCCUAUUGCAAAUGACCAUAUUUGUGAAUUGGCUGCCUCUCUCACUAGACUGGAAGUUCCAUGAAGGCUUCAUCUUUUCUCUUAAGUUCCAUAGCCCCAGCACUAGAGCAGUGUUUGGCAUACAGUAGGUGUUCGCGAACCAUUUAAAGUGAAGAGGAGAAUCGAUUGGCCUCUGAAUCUAAACCACAGUAAAAGGGAGGAAUAAUUAGAACUAGGGACUUGAAUGCACGCAGAGUUCACUUUGGUCAUUCACCUGCCAUUCUCUCUGGUGUCUCCUUCCUACUCUCAAUGAUCCACAUAGUGGCUGCCUUGGAACCUCCAGGCUUAUCAUAUCACAACUCCACAAUCAGAGGGGAAACAGUCUUUCUCGCUCAGCUCCAGGUUGCAUAACCCCGGGAAAUGUUCUGAUUGGCCUGUCUCCCAGUGACAUACAGAGGAGGCCAGGACUGAGCCACAGUGUAUCUGCUCUUUUCCUCAUUUCUCACUCUCCAAUCCUGCCUGCUCCAUCUAUUUUGGUGAUGUUGCCCCAGUUUUAAUAAUGAUGCUUUACAGCCCAUUGCAGAUGCUGUUAGAACUCUGCCAUUAUCCCCCUGGAUCCCUUUAGUAUUUUUGCUCACACCUGCUUCCUGCAUGACAUGCAUUCGCUCUCAACAGCAACACCUGCCGAUCCUUGCUGGCGGGCUGCCCUAGGCUACUAGCACCUGCUUUGCCUGUGCAAUAAGAGAGUUCGAAGUGCCUCUAGGGGUAGCCCUUGACUGAUGACUGACAGCCUAGGAGUAUAAACGCUGCAGUCCCUUUACUCAUGAUGGAAACAACUCUGAGAUGUGACCUCCACAUGUCCCCAGAACUCCCUCAGCAUGGAGCCUAAGUUACCCUCCAUGGGGAUUUGCUGGAUGCUGCACCCUUGCUUGGCCUCCUUCCCAUCCCAGUCCCACUUCCCAUUCUCUACUUGGGAAUAUCUACUAAAUAAAUAACUUUCACAUGAAUUUGCAGUCUUCAUCCGGAGAACCCCACCUACAACAAGCUCCAUCUUUGCCCCUAGCUCUCCACCUAUUUGUCAUAAGAUUUUUUUUGAGGGCAGGUACCUUGGCAUAGUUUCCUGCCUCCCCUCCACACAUAUGCACUACAGAAAUGUUUACUUAUUUGCUUUUAAUAUGUUCCUAUCCUUAGAGUUCCUUCCUAUUUUCCAGGUUUCCCUGUUUCAACUAUCAUUGCUUCUCAGAUAUGCUAAUUUUCUUGCUUUGCUUAUUACUGAUGGCUUGUCUAUCUGCCCUCUCUAAUUCAACAUGUUAAACAUUCCUAAGUCAUAAGUCAAAUACCAUAUGUUCUCACCUAUAGGUGGGAGCUAAGCUCUGGGUAUGCAUAGACAUACAGAGUAGUAUAAUGGACAUUGGAGACUCAGAAGGGAAGGGUGGGAGGGGGACGAGGGAUAAAAACUAUAUAUUGGGUACAAUGUACACUAUUCUGGUGACAGGUACAAUCAAAUCUCAGACUUCACCGCUAUACAAUGCAUCUAUGUAACCAAAACCCCCUUGCACCUCAAAAGCUAUUGAAAUUAAAACAAAAAAACUAUUACUAACAUGGAGACAAACUAAUUUCUUUGAAAAAUGUAAACCAUUUAAAAGGCAAAUAUUACCAAAUCUAUUCACCAUCUUCCUUAUCUGGCCUUGAAGGACUAUUUAUGCACUAUUUAACCCAGUUGACCUGACCAGUGGACCUGGUUUUCCACAGAAGUGGCUAGAUUCUUUGAAGUUAAUGUUGGACUUGAUUUUUUAAAAGCAGGCCCUGAAAAAUUUUAAAGGACUAUAUGUCCAGAAUAUUAUAAAAUCAACAAAAAGAAACAUUCCUUGUAUUUUCCUCUUAUUUUCUAUACCUUUCUUCUAUGUUUUGCAUUAGGUGCUUGCUCAAGAUCUCAGUCAUGCUUUGACUCAGUUUAACAGUCAAAUCAUUACUAAUCGUACUACCUUUUCAUAGUUCACACUUCUAAAAUAUUAACUUGUAAAAGAAGGAAUGCGAUAAAGCCAUCAGAACACCAAGUGGUGUCUUUAUUUCUUAAUCAUUUUCUAAAACAUUACUUAAUUCAGUUGAAUUCAGAGAAACUUUUAGUAAUUCUUAUCAGAUGAAUUUAUAUACAUACCAUUGUGGAAAAUAAAAUAACUUGUGAGCAUCUUUGAUACAGCCUCAAUCAACAUUGAUGUUGAAACCAGAGGCUGUAAGUUUCAAAUAGCAGUUUAUGAGAAAACAUGGAGAGAAAUUUUAAGAUGUUGGCGUGAACACUUCUGACAAUGUAAAACACUCGGCUAACCAUUGCCCUUUGCUUCGACAGAUAAGAAGUUUAGCAAAUAUUUACAUACCAGUUUUCACAACAUUUAAGCUAAAUUUUUACUUCUAUGUAUUGUCAUUAUAAGGUUUAACUUCUAAGACUGUUUACUAAAAAGGGCAAAGAGCAUUUUUAUAAUAUUGCAAGGUCUGUCUUAAUAACUCCAAAGACUGCUGACUUGUAACCCUGAGACUGAAUGUUUAUUACAGGAAGCUGCAUGUUAGAAUGUUUGAGGUAGAAAAUUGUGCUUGUUUGCUUCAACUUGUAAACUACGUUUUUCAUAAAAGGUUGAUUUGACUCACCAACUCUUUGAUAAUUGUCCUACCAUUUUUGACCUCACUGAUCCAGCUCUAAUUAACUCAACAAAUAAAAGAGAAUGUGCAGAUUAGUUUGGAAUUAAGGACAUAGCUGAAGGCAUUCCUUGGGAAAAGUGAUUUUGCCAACAAAAUAAAUACUCUAACAAAAGAAUGUUAAAACACCAAUACAGAUCACAUCACUCUUCAUAAAACCCCCAAACUGGAAGCUAUCCAAAUACUGCCUGACAAUAGUAGGUUGGAUAAAUAUACUGUGGUAUAUUUAUAGAAUGGAAUAUUAUAAAGAAAUGAGAAUGCUCUGCAAUCAGGCACAAUGACAUAGAUGGCUCUCAUAAACAAAAUGUUGAGCGAAAGAAGCCAGACACAAAUGAGAACAUACCAUAUGCUUUCAUUCAUUAAAAGUUCAAAAACAGACAAAAGUAAUUUAUGGUAUUGUGUUGGGAUAAUGCUUAUCUUGGGGUAGUAAGGCCUGAAAGGAGGCAUAAUGGGGGAUUCUGGAGAGCUGAUAUGGUUCUAUUUCUUGAGUUACAUAUUUAUUUGAGUAUUUUUCUAUAUGUUAUCCUUCAAUAAAUGCUAUUAAAACCCCCAUGCUAUACAGAACCUUUAUUUUCAAUGGCGUUAUCUACUUUCCAAAAGAAUUUGAGUAGUCUUUCAGAUCGAGGAAGGGUGCUAGAUGCUGCUGUGAACGUUGAUAAAAGCAGGCUCGGUCCUUAAAGACCUUGUGGUAUGAUGGGAG
rnacentral:lncRNA from 1 species